AGAGUUUGAUCCUGGCUCAGGACGAACGCUGGCGGCGUGCCUAAUACAUGCAAGUCGAGCGGACAGAUGGGAGCUUGCUCCCUGAUGUUAGCGGCGGACGGGUGAGUAACACGUGGGUAACCUGCCUGUAAGACUGGGAUAACUCCGGGAAACCGGGGCUAAUACCGGAUGAUUGUUUGAACCGCAUGGUUCAGACAUAAAAGGUGGCUUCGGCUACCACUUACAGAUGGACCCGCGGCGCAUUAGCUAGUUGGUGAGGUAACGGCUCACCAAGGCAACGAUGCGUAGCCGACCUGAGAGGGUGAUCGGCCACACUGGGACUGAGACACGGCCCAGACUCCUACGGGAGGCAGCAGUAGGGAAUCUUCCGCAAUGGACGAAAGUCUGACGGAGCAACGCCGCGUGAGUGAUGAAGGUUUUCGGAUCGUAAAGCUCUGUUGUUAGGGAAGAACAAGUGCCGUUCAAAUAGGGCGGCACCUUGACGGUACCUAACCAGAAAGCCACGGCUAACUACGUGCCAGCAGCCGCGGUAAUACGUAGGUGGCAAGCGUUGUCCGGAAUUAUUGGGCGUAAAGGGCUCGCAGGCGGUUUCUUAAGUCUGAUGUGAAAGCCCCCGGCUCAACCGGGGAGGGUCAUUGGAAACUGGGGAACUUGAGUGCAGAAGAGGAGAGUGGAAUUCCACGUGUAGCGGUGAAAUGCGUAGAGAUGUGGAGGAACACCAGUGGCGAAGGCGACUCUCUGGUCUGUAACUGACGCUGAGGAGCGAAAGCGUGGGGAGCGAACAGGAUUAGAUACCCUGGUAGUCCACGCCGUAAACGAUGAGUGCUAAGUGUUAGGGGGUUUCCGCCCCUUAGUGCUGCAGCUAACGCAUUAAGCACUCCGCCUGGGGAGUACGGUCGCAAGACUGAAACUCAAAGGAAUUGACGGGGGCCCGCACAAGCGGUGGAGCAUGUGGUUUAAUUCGAAGCAACGCGAAGAACCUUACCAGGUCUUGACAUCCUCUGACAAUCCUAGAGAUAGGACGUCCCCUUCGGGGGCAGAGUGACAGGUGGUGCAUGGUUGUCGUCAGCUCGUGUCGUGAGAUGUUGGGUUAAGUCCCGCAACGAGCGCAACCCUUGAUCUUAGUUGCCAGCAUUCAGUUGGGCACUCUAAGGUGACUGCCGGUGACAAACCGGAGGAAGGUGGGGAUGACGUCAAAUCAUCAUGCCCCUUAUGACCUGGGCUACACACGUGCUACAAUGGACAGAACAAAGGGCAGCGAAACCGCGAGGUUAAGCCAAUCCCACAAAUCUGUUCUCAGUUCGGAUCGCAGUCUGCAACUCGACUGCGUGAAGCUGGAAUCGCUAGUAAUCGCGGAUCAGUAUGCCGCGGUGAAUACGUUCCCGGGCCUUGUACACACCGCCCGUCACACCACGAGAGUUUGUAACACCCGAAGUCGGUGAGGUAACCUUUUAGGAGCCAGCCGCCGAAGGUGGGACAGAUGAUUGGGGUGAAGUCGUAACAAGGUAGCCGUAUCGGAAGGUGCGGCUGGAUCACCUCCUU
rnacentral:rRNA from 1 species